CAGUGCCAACUGUGUCCCUGAGACAUGAUGGUGAAGGUUGGAGACCUUUGGAUUUGGCUGUAUUGGGCACCUGGUCACCCAACACCAGCAAAAACCCAGAUUUCACUUUCACAACUUUUGGAGACCAAUAGAUCCAUGAAAAACUUACUGGAAGCUCCUAAUGCGAGCCUGAGACUAAAGAGGGCUGGCAGAACUUCUACUCUAAGCCUGACUAUAAAAAUCCCCAAACUUCCCAGACUUGUUUCAAAUAAGUUUCAUUCUACAACAACUGGCGAACUAAAUUCCUAUAGGACAGCACUAAUGGCCCAUUUGUUGAAAAGAAGGUCCUAAAUAGAUUGCAAUUUGUCUCCUUUCACCCAGUUCUGCUCUUGUAUAAGCCUUGCAUCACCACCCUCCGCCACACCCUCCACCAUUAAUAUCCACAGUUAAAAGUGUCCCGUGAAUCCUUUGAAAUUUCAUUUAAAUGUUCAAAAGUAUAAUUAUUUCUUCUUCCCCUGCCCAUCUUUUAUACAAAUGGUAGCAUUGAUUGACAUUGCUCUAUACC